rnacentral:lncRNA from 1 species
GUUUGGGGCUGUUUUGGGGCUCGUUUUGGCCUCGCUUUUUGGGGUGCUUUGGGGCAGUUUCGGGGCUGAUUUUGAUCUUGAUUUCGGGGCUGGGUUUUGGCACGCUUUGGGAUUUGCUUUGGGGGUCGAUUUUGGGGGAGUUCUGGGGUGUCUGGGGGCUUGUUGUGGCCUUGCUCAUGCGGUGUUCACGGCCUUGCUUUUUGGGGUGCUUUGGGGCAGGUUUGGGGCUUGUUUUGGCCCCGAUUUUUGGGCUGGUGGGGGCUGGUUUGGAGCUGGCUUUGACCUUGCUUUUGGGCUUGGUGUUGGCAUGGCUUGGGAUUUGCUUUGGGGGCAGUUCUCGGGGGUGAUGUGGGGCUUGCUUUGGGGUGAUUCGGGGCUUGUUUUGGCCUUGCUCUGUGGGGUGCUUUGGGGCUGGUUUGGGGGGGACUGGUUUGGGGCUGUUUGGGGAGCAUUUGGGGGCAGGUUUUGGGGUGUUCAGGGCCGGUUUGCGCUCUCUGACGGUCUCUCUGUCCCCCAGCUCUGCAGCUGCCCCUGCCGCCCUUCCUGGUGCCCCGCAGCGUGGAGAGCAUUGAGAUUGACCAGAAGCUGCAGGAGAUCAUGAAGCAGACCGGCUACCUCACCGUGGGGGGACAGGUGAGCGUGGGGGGGCACUGGGGGUGGGGGCAGGAGGUGAGGAUCAAGCAGAAUUGGGAUUGGCCAACACUUGGGUUGGGUUUGGUUGGGUU